rnacentral:rRNA from 3 species
AAAUUGAAGAGUUUGAUCAUGGCUCAGAUUGAACGCUGGCGGCAGGCCUAACACAUGCAAGUCGAACGGUAACAGGAAGCAGCUUGCUGCUUUGCUGACGAGUGGCGGACGGGUGAGUAAUGUCUGGGAAACUGCCUGAUGGAGGGGGAUAACUACUGGAAACGGUGGCUAAUACCGCAUAACGUCGCAAGACCAAAGAGGGGGACCUUCGGGCCUCUUGCCAUCAGAUGUGCCCAGAUGGGAUUAGCUUGUUGGUGAGGUAACGGCUCACCAAGGCGACGAUCCCUAGCUGGUCUGAGAGGAUGACCAGCCACACUGGAACUGAGACACGGCCCAGACUCCUACGGGAGGCAGCAGUGGGGAAUAUUGCACAAUGGGCGCAAGCCUGAUGCAGCCAUGCCGCGUGUAUGAAGAAGGCCUUCGGGUUGUAAAGUACUUUCAGCGGGGAGGAAGGUGUUGUGGUUAAUAACCGCAGCAAUUGACGUUACCCGCAGAAGAAGCACCGGCUAACUCCGUGCCAGCAGCCGCGGUAAUACGGAGGGUGCAAGCGUUAAUCGGAAUUACUGGGCGUAAAGCGCACGCAGGCGGUCUGUCAAGUCGGAUGUGAAAUCCCCGGGCUCAACCUGGGAACUGCAUUCGAAACUGGCAGGCUUGAGUCUUGUAGAGGGGGGUAGAAUUCCAGGUGUAGCGGUGAAAUGCGUAGAGAUCUGGAGGAAUACCGGUGGCGAAGGCGGCCCCCUGGACAAAGACUGACGCUCAGGUGCGAAAGCGUGGGGAGCAAACAGGAUUAGAUACCCUGGUAGUCCACGCCGUAAACGAUGUCUACUUGGAGGUUGUGCCCUUGAGGCGUGGCUUCCGGAGCUAACGCGUUAAGUAGACCGCCUGGGGAGUACGGCCGCAAGGUUAAAACUCAAAUGAAUUGACGGGGGCCCGCACAAGCGGUGGAGCAUGUGGUUUAAUUCGAUGCAACGCGAAGAACCUUACCUGGUCUUGACAUCCACAGAAGAAUCCAGAGAUGGAUUUGUGCCUUCGGGAACUGUGAGACAGGUGCUGCAUGGCUGUCGUCAGCUCGUGUUGUGAAAUGUUGGGUUAAGUCCCGCAACGAGCGCAACCCUUAUCCUUUGUUGCCAGCGGUUAGGCCGGGAACUCAAAGGAGACUGCCAGUGAUAAACUGGAGGAAGGUGGGGAUGACGUCAAGUCAUCAUGGCCCUUACGACCAGGGCUACACACGUGCUACAAUGGCGCAUACAAAGAGAAGCGACCUCGCGAGAGCAAGCGGACCUCAUAAAGUGCGUCGUAGUCCGGAUUGGAGUCUGCAACUCGACUCCAUGAAGUCGGAAUCGCUAGUAAUCGUGGAUCAGAAUGCCACGGUGAAUACGUUCCCGGGCCUUGUACACACCGCCCGUCACACCAUGGGAGUGGGUUGCAAAAGAAGUAGGUAGCUUAACCUUCGGGAGGGCGCUUACCACUUUGUGAUUCAUGACUGGGGUGAAGUCGUAACAAGGUAACCGUAGGGGAACCUGCGGUUGGAUCACCUCCUUACCUUAAAGAAGC